GAUGAACGCUGGCGGCGUGCUUAACACAUGCAAGUCGAACGGAAAGGCUCCUGCUUGCAGGGGUUCUCGAGUGGCGCACGGGUGAGUAACACGUGGGUGAUACGCCCUUCACUUCGGGAUAUGACUGGGAAACUGGGUCUAAUACAGGAUAGGAUAACAUUAUGGACGGUGUGGAGGAGAGAUGUACGGUGUUGGAUGAGCUCGCGGCCUAUCAGCUUGUUGGUGGGGUAAUGGCCUACGAAGGCGUCGACGGGUAGCCGGCCUUAGAGGGUGUACGGCCACAUUGGGACUAAGAUACGGCGCAGACUCCUACGGGAGGCAGCAGUGGAGAAUAUUGCACAAUGAGCGCAAGCCUGUUACAGCGGCGCCGCGUUCGGGAUGACGUCCUUCGAGGUGUAAACACCUUUCGCUAGAGACGAGGCGCAAGUGACGGUACCUGGAGAAGAAGCACCGGCUAACUACGUG
rnacentral:rRNA from 1 species